rnacentral:rRNA from 1 species
CCAUACGGCCAUACCAGCCUGGGUACGCCCGAUCUCGUCUGAUUUCGGAAGCGAAGUAGGGUCGGGCCUGGUUAGUACUUGGAUGGGAGACCGCCUGGGAAUACCAGGUGCUGUAAGCA